GUACAGUGUCCAAAAUUCCACGUGGCAAAUCAAUGCGACCCAGCUAAAAAAUUUCGGAUUGCCGCGCUGCAAGUCAAACCGGAAAUCGAACAAGAACGGUAGCUUCGAAUUUUGUCACUUCACGAACCCAAGGUUCGGAGUUUCCGAACCUGUUUUGCUUACAACAGCGAUUCUCACUGCUCAGUAUUCCAUAUAAGACAAAAAAACCCAACAAAUAAAUCCAAACAAACGCCUUAAUUCAUGCUCUCCGUUAUUCAUCUCAUUUCCAUUUCCGGCCGCUUGAUAUCUUCAGAGGCCAAAUCACCGCCACAUAUCCACAGAAGUUGAUACGUCGUGAGUUGCAGUUUCUUCAUUUAUGCUCAGCUUGAGCUUGGAUAUUUCUGCUGAUGACAAAGUGACGUCUCUCUCUGUAGUUUCGUUUUUCUUUUCUCUUUAUUUUGGCCUGUAGUUGAAAGCUUAAGAAGCUGCUUGGUUUUGCUGAGGAAGUUGUUUUGUGUGAUCAGAAACAGCUGAUUUUGAAUUAGAUUUGCUUUUGAAGCUCGCUUUUACAGACCCUUUUGAGUAUUGAUUUUAAAAGUUUUUAUCUUUCAUGUGUGUGAUGUUUUUGGUGUUUUUUCCUUUCUGGGAAUUUAAUUUUUUCCGAUAAAAUUUUGUUUGCUUCGAAUCUGCAGGGUGAAAGUUUGAAUUUUUUUUAGUAGACACAUUGAUUAUUGCUUGUUUCUCUCUCUAAAAGCUCUUGUAUUCUCUCUCUCCCUGAACUCGUCGCAUUUAUUUAUUGGCUGAAAGUGGCAUACCCUUUACGUGUCUCUCUCUCCCUCUCCCUCUCUCGAUAUGUUGGUGAAGAUGACAGUAAAGACGAGCGUUGGAGCUAAGUUUUCGAAGAUUUCUGUGAAUGUUACCUUAAGU
rnacentral:misc_RNA from 1 species